rnacentral:miRNA from 1 species
UUGUUGCGCUGCAGUAGGGAACCAAAGACAAUUUCCGUGUUAUUAAACAGGAUUUCGUUUUUGGAUUCUCUAAUGUAUCGCAUCAA